rnacentral:misc_RNA from 1 species
GAUGAAGAACGCAGCGAAAUGCGAUACGUAAUGUGAAUUGCAGAAUUCAGUGAAUCAUCGAGUCUUUGAACGCACAUUGCGCCCGCUAGUAUUCUGGCGGGCAUGCCUGUCCGAGCGUCAUUUCAACCCUCAAGCCCCCGGGCUUGGUGUUGGGGAUCGGCGAGCCUCCGCGCCCGCCGUCCCCUAAAUCUAGUGGCGGUCUCGCUGUAGCUUCCUCUGCGUAGUAGCACACCUCGCACUGGGAAACAGCGCGGCCACGCCGUUAAACCCCCAACUUCUGAACGUUUGACCUCGGAUCAGGUAGGAAUACCCGCUGAACUUAAGCAUAUCCAUAAGCGGAGGA